UACGGAGGGUGCGAGCGUUGUCCGGAAUCACUGGGCGUAAAGGGCGCGUAGGUGGCCUGUGGAAGUCUGCGGUGAAAGCCCGGCGCUCAACGCCGGGUCGGCCGUGGAUACUCUCGGGCUCGAGCUUACUAGAGGCAGAUGGAAUUCCGGGUGUAGCGGUGGAAUGCGUAGAGAUCCGGAAGAACACCGGUGGCGAAGGCGGCUUACUGGUCCGGAACUGACGCUGAGGUGCGAAAGCGUGGGGAGCAAACAGG
rnacentral:rRNA from 1 species